rnacentral:rRNA from 1 species
UACGUAGGGGGCAAGCGUUGUCCGGAAUCAUUGGGCGUAAAGAGCGUGUAGGCGGCCCGGUAAGUCUGUUGUGAAAGUCCAUGGCUCAACCCUGGAAUGCCGAUGGAUACUGCCGGGCUAGAGUUCGGAAGAGGCGAGUGGAAUUCCUGGUGUAGCGGUGGAAUGCGCAGAUAUCAGGAGGAACACCUAUAGCGAAGGCAGCUCGCUGGGACGACACUGACGCUGAGACGCGAAAGCGUGGGGAGCGAACAGG